UCCAGCUGAGGAGGAUGGGUCAAAGUCUCUUGCAUAGGACAGGGUUUUUACCCUCUCCUGGAGAUGGUAUUAGCUAAUUCCCUUUGGUAGCUGAGAUGGGUACCCAGCACUGAGAACACCAUGCUGGCUCUUUGCUGACCAAAUCAUAUCGAGCCAAAUGUGAAACCAAGAAGAGGUUUGUGAAAGUCUGGUCCAUUCAGGAUUGGGCAGACUGCAAUGGGCACCAACAACCUUUAUGGAAUGGACCAAGAACUUGUCUUCCCAAGUGGAAAAAGUAGUGGCCAGGCUAAGUGGAAGGCUAAGCAGCAGUAGGGCUUCCUGCUAAACUCAACAGCAACAAGCUGUUUAUUCAUCGGGGGACAAGCUGACCUGGCUGGAAAAUGGUCAGUGGUGCUGAAUGCCUCAAUGGGAUGAAGGAUUUUGCUCUUAAAAUGGUCCCAGAUGAUGCCUACAUCAUGACUGUAGUCACGUGUCUUUGGUGGCACCAAUGGAACAGAAAUGUGAAACUCUAUGCAAAUUUUCCUGGAGAAGAGGGUGCUGGGAAUUCUCUCCUACAUAACUGUGGACACUCUGCAAACAGGAGAUGGAACCAGAAAAACCUUCAACGACCUCCAAGGAAAUAAAAACACAUUUGGGCCAAACCAGAGUGAAAUGCUAAUUUCUCCCAUAUGAACCACUGCCACAGCAAAAUAUUUACUGUUUGCGAUUGUGCAGGCUUCUCAUGUUAAGUUUUUACUGUGAAACUUAUGGGCAUGUUUGCAUUUAUGUGUCAAAAGUUCCUCAAAUCGCGUCAAUAGUCAGUUAAGAAAUAACUUAGUGGUGAGAUAAGGAAAAAAUGGAGAACUAAAACCUUUGGUGAAUGAGUUCAGGGCCUGUAAAGCAAUGUCAGAAUGAGUUAUUUGAUUGUUUCCUGUAAUGCCUUUUGUGACUGCCACUGUCUGUGUUGCUUGUUGCCGUGUAAAUGGGAUGGCAGCAUGGUUUUAGUUGAGUUCAGUGCCUUCGUAAAUAGAUCCCAUAACUCCCUUAUGUGUAGGCCCUGGAUGUCUGUAGGGUUUGGCUGGGAGGUGAAGAAGAAAAUGUGGUUUGCCGUUUCAGGGUGAAUGUGAUGUCCUAGUGGUUGGUCUAUUCGUGUGGAUGUGGUGCAGAAGACAGUCCAGACUUUGUGGCUGGACAAGCCAGUGCAAGUUCUCCCCUUCUGUGCCUCCCUUUCGCCAAUGGCCAUCCCAUCGGGCUCCCAGAAAGUAGGUCCUGCCUUGAACUGGUCAGCAUUUUGAGGCAAAGAGCCCUCUGAUUAAAAUGUCAUCAAGAAACCAAACCCCAAAAUGUAGUUCUACAAAAUCCAGUCCAUCACAGGGAGAAAAAUAGAGGCACUCAUUAAAUAUAAUACAGCAUCCUGCAAACAAGUAUGUGCAUGUGCAGGGGGGAAAGUGCAGGCGUUGGGCUGGGCACAAGCAUCUGCAAUCAGGUACUCAUCAGGCACUGGAUCUAACUCUAUUUUCUGCUCAGCAUUUAACAAAUCAGGAAAG